rnacentral:lncRNA from 1 species
GUUCGAUACCAUGCCAUGGACUGUGUAGUGAAAUCUUGGUAAACAUCUCCACUCACUUCGUGGAAGGGAUGCGUCCUUGUGGAUUUGCUGGAAAAUAGGACUGUGAUGCUAGUCUGAGACAUGUGUGACAUGCAGGGGUAAGGGAGACCCAGCUGGGGCAGGUGGGCUUUUUGGCAGCUCUGCCUUUCAGAAGGUCCUCCCCUAGGUCAUGUCCCUAACAUGAGCAGAACACUAUUUCUCAGAGUCCUUGAUCAGAUGAUAUCAAAGUAAUUGAAAUGGCAGAGGAGAAAGUGAAUUUAAGACUGAAAUCCACAACUGCUACAAUUAGAGGUCCAGGGAUUUGGCUCAGUGGUUCUGCUGCCUGCCUUGCAUGUGCAAGGGCCUGAGUUCCAACCCUGGUACAAAAAAAAAAAAAAAAAAAAAAAAAAAAAAAAAAAAAAAAAAAAAACAACAACAAAAAGUGCUACUAUUAGAAAGCUACCAUAACAUGGCAGCAUCCUUCUCCGUUAGUAAUGGUUUCCUGGAUUGCGUUGGGAAGGCGGCCUUCAUGAGAAAACCGUUCCCAGACAGUAUUGGAAAGUUGCGGAUCCAUUUUUACCAUUUCUCCAAGUAUGGUUUGAAACAGUAACUGUCAGAUUCCGGAAGUAUCAGGAUGGCAGCAAAAAAUCCGUCGCAUACAGCAACAAAGUGUCUGAGUGGUCUGAAAUUGAACACUGCGCUUAAUGGCACGGUUCCUUUUGUACCUCUGGCUCUCACUUGUUUUUAUUAGAUUGUUUUUGUUUCUGAUAAAAUAACUAUGAAUUCACUGGAAGCUUGGUAAGUGAGAGAUAACACAAGUCACACACUGUGGCAAUAGUCACAUGUGGACAACAUUAACAACCUGGCAUUAAUCUGUACUUUGAGAUAUGUGAUAGAAAGGAGAAGCUACACAUUUGUAAAUCAAAAUGUAUCCUGCUUCAGUUCAUUUAUCUUCUACCAUCUCUUGUUAAAUUCACCUGGACUCAUUUCCCUCACUUCGUUGAGAAGGUGACUUUAAAUUUUUUUUAAAUUAAUUAAUUGUUUUUUGUACCAAAAAUACUACUCUGGACCUUGAAUUUUUGAGGCAGGUGAAGCACCACUGAGCUAAAUCCUCACACAAGAUGAUGGGUUUUUUUUUCCCCCUUUGGUUUUUUGAGACAGGGUUUCACUAUGCAGUUGAUACUGCCCUGGAACACACUAUGUAGCCCAGGUUGGCCUCAAACUCACAGCAUUUCUCCUGCCUCAGCCUCUGGAGUGCUGGGAUUACAGGCAAGCACCACCACACCC